CACCAUCCAGGCAGCUGGUGAACAAUCUAACAUCAAUACCUCCCUAUCUCAUUGUCUUCGUCUGGCCUCCAAAACCAAGAGGAACUGCCUCCUUGAAAGGCUUUUAAGAAUAUAAAGUAGCUGGGCCUGGUGAUACAUGCCUAGAAUCCUAACAACUCUGGAUGCUGAGUCAAGACCUACCUGGACUCCAGGAAAGUCUCAAGAUCAUUAUGGGUCACCCACUGAGACCUUGUUUCAAGUACAAAAGUAAGAAGAAUGGCUAUACCUAGCACUACAAUAAAGCACUUCCUAGUGUGUGUAAA